rnacentral:rRNA from 1 species
ACAUAGGUGGCAAGCGUUACUCGGAAUUACUAGGCGUAAAGCGCGUGUAGGUGGAUGUUUAAGUCCGUCGUUUAAUCUCCCGGCUCAACCGGGAACAGUCGGCGGAUACUGGGCAUCUGGAGUGGGACAGAGGAAACUGGAAUUCCCGGUGUAGCGGUGAAAUGCGUAGAUAUCGGGAAGAACACCGGCGGCGAAGGCGGGUUUCUGGGUCCCUACUGACACUAAGACGCGAAAGCUAGGGGAGCAAACAG